GGCCUAACACAUGCAAGUCGAACGCGAGAGGGGCUUCGGCCCUGAUUGAGUGGCAAACGGGUGAGUAACACGUGGGUGACCUACCUUCGAGUGGGGGAUAACGUCCCGAAAGGGACGCUAAUACCGCAUAACAUCCUGCCUUUGAAAAGGCGGUGAUCAAAGCCGGGGAUCGUAAGACCUGGCGCUUGUUGAGGGGCCCGCGUCCGAUUAGCUAGUUGGUGAGGUAACGGCUCACCAAGGCGACGAUCGGUAACCGGCCUGAGAGGGCGGACGGUCACACUGGGACUGAGACACGGCCCAGACUCCUACGGGAGGCAGCAGUGGGGAAUUGUUCACAAUGGGCGCAAGCCUGAUGACGCAACGCCGCGUGGAGGAUGAAGGUCUUCGGAUUGUAAACUCCUGUUGCCCGGGACGAAAAGCUUCGACCUAAUACGUCGAGGUCUGACGGUACCGGGUGAGGAAGCCCCGGCUAACUCUGUGCCAGCAGCCGCGGUAAUACAGGGGGGGCAAGCGUUGUUCGGAAUUACUGGGCGUAAAGGGCGCGUAGGCGGCCCGCUAAGUCGAACGUGAAAUCCCUGGGCUCAACCCAGGAACUGCGUCCGAUACUGGCAGGCUUGAAUCCGGGAGAGGGAUGCGGAAUUCCAGGUGUAGCGGUGAAAUGCGUAGAUAUCUGGAGGAACACCGGUGGCGAAGGCGGCAUCCUGGACCGGCAUUGACGCUGAGGCGCGAAAGCUAGGGGAGCAAACGGGAUUAGAUACCCCGGUAGUCCUAGCCCUAAACGAUGAAUGCUUGGUGUGGCGGGUAUCGAUCCCUGCCGUGCCG
rnacentral:rRNA from 1 species